CAUGCCAUUGCUCUCCAGCCUGGACGACAAGAGUGAAACUCGGUCUCAAAAAAAAAAAAAAAAAAAAAGUUAUAUGGUAAAGUCUCUCUGUUACCCUGUCCCCAAACAUUCAUUUCUUUCCCUGGAGGCAGCCACUAUUACCAGUUUCUUAAAAAAAAAAAAAAAAAAAAAAAGCGUGAAGUGGCUCUGUUACGUUGGAGGGCUGGAGUUGUCUGGAGUUCCACGGCGUGGUGGGCUAGAGGCCACCUCUCCUGUGGCCUCUUAGUGUCUCCAGGGCGGGGUUUGGCCCAAGCUGGAUAGAGACAGCCCUUUGCGGAUUUAAACAACCUAAACAUUAAGCAAUACAGCUGCCUCAAAUCUUUGGGAAUUUCAGAAUGACUGACACUGCCGAAGCUGUUCCAAACUUUGAAGAGAUGUUUGCUAGUAGAUUCACAGAAGAUGACAAGGAAUAUCAGGAAUACCUAAAACGCCCUCCUGAGUCCCCUCCAAUUGUUGAGGAAUGGAAUAGCAGAGCUGGUGGGAACCAAAGAAACAGAGGCAACCGAUUGCAAGAUAACAGACAGUUCAGAGGCAGGGACAGCAGAUGGGGGUGACCAAGUGACAAUCGAUCCAAUCAGUGUCAUGGACGAUCCUGGAGUAAUAAUUACCCGAAACACAGACAAGAACCUUACUAUCCCCACCAAUAUGGACAUUAUGGCUACAAUCAGCAGCUUCCUUACGGUUACUACUGAUAGAAAUGUUGGCAGCUUUUAGUAAAAGCAUUUACUCUGUUACCAUGACAAAAGUUUGGGUGUCAUCUGUUGGUCAUAGUUUUACAUCUGAUUUUAGAGAAUGGAUUAUUUUUUGGAAGUUGAGACUUAAAAAAAAAAUAGAUCUUACUUGCGAGAUAACGAUGGUUGCUGGUAAUACCUGAAAUUGUGGAUAAUAUUGCUUGACUUCUACCUCAGAGUCUUCCUUGUUUCACGACGUAAUAGUGCUUUGAGUUUGGUAUGUUUUCUUAUUUGACCUCUAGGAGAUCUUUGUUUUACACAGAAAUAAAAUUUUAAAAUAGAAAAUGCUGGCUUUUACUUUGUAAGGUAAGAGAGUAUCCAUAUACUUAGAUGUGCUCGUUUCUAAAAUUUUAGAAGUUAAUACAAUUAGCUCAUGAAUGCACAGCUAUGCUUCUUGUGAAAGAUUAUAUAUAACAUCAGCAGUUGAAAGAUAAAACAAUUGCUUUUUUUUUUUUUCUUAUGUGACUAUGGUACUUUGUGAUUCCUUAUUCUAUAGAUAAUGAGGUCAGCUCCACAUUUAUUUGGGUCUCUUUAGAGGGAAAUCAGUAAUAAAGCUGUAAAAUAAGGAAGGAAUCAUUGUCAGUUUGUGUCUUGAUCUGGUGGUGGUUGGGAUUAGGGUAACACCAUUGUAUAUAC